rnacentral:rRNA from 1 species
UACGUAGGUGGCAAGCGUUGUCUGGAAUUACUGGGUGUAAAGGGAGCGUAGGCGGGAUGCCAAGUUGGGUGUGAAAUGCACAGGCUUAACCUGUGAGCUGCAUCCAAAACUGGCGUUCUUGAGUGAUGUAGAGGAAGGUGGAAUUCCCGGUGUAGCAGUGAAAUGCGUAGAGAUCGGGAGGAACACCAGUGGCGAAGGCGGCCUGCCGGGGUGUGGCUGACGCUGAUGCGCGAAAGCAUGGGGAGCGAACAGG